AUCGAACGCUGGCGGCAUGCCUUACACAUGCAAGUCGAACGGCAGCACGGGUGCUUGCACCUGGUGGCGAGUGGCGAACGGGUGAGUAAUAUAUCGGAACGUACCUUAUUGUGGGGGAUAACGCAGCGAAAGCUGUGCUAAUACCGCAUAAUCCCUAAGGGGGAAAGCGGGGGACCGUAAGGCCUCGCGCAAUUAGAGCGGCCGAUACCUGAUUCGCAAGUUGGUGAGGUAAAGGCUCACCAAGGCAACGAUCAGUAGCUGGUCUGAGAGGACGAUCAGGCACACUGGGACUGAGACACGGCCCAGACUCCUACGGGAGGCAGCAGUGGGGAAUGUUGGACAAUGGGGGUAACCCUGAUCCAGCAAUGCCGCGUGAGUGAAGAAGGCCUUCGGGUUGUAAAGCUCUUUUGUCAGGGAAGAAACAGCAGCUCUAACACAGUUUGCGAAUGACGGUACCUGAAGAAUAAGCACCGGCUAACUACGUGCCAGCCGCCGCUGUAA
rnacentral:rRNA from 1 species